AUUGAACGCUGGCGGCAUGCCUAACACAUGCAAGUCGAACGAGUGGCGGACUGGUGAGUAAUGUCUGGGAAACUGCCUGAUGUAGGGGGAUAACUACUGGAAACGAUAGCUAAUACCGCAUACCAUCGGAUUUGCCCAGAUUGGAUUAGCUAGUCGGUGGGGUAACGGCUCACCUAGGCGACGCUCCCUAGCUGGGCUGAGAGGAUGACCAGCCAAACUGGAACUGAGACACGGUCCAGACUCCUACGGGAGGCAGCAGUGGGGAAUAUUGCACAAUGGGCGCAAGCCUGAUGCAGCCAGGCCGCGUGUAUGAAGAAGGCCUUCGGGUUGUAAAGUACUUUCAUCGGGGAGGCGUUACUCGCAGAAGAAGCACCGGCUAACUCCGUGCCAGCAGCCGCGGUAAUUC
rnacentral:rRNA from 1 species